rnacentral:lncRNA from 1 species
AAAGGAAACAAAUAAAAUGCAAAACAUUUAUUUGAGUGUGUUGUACAAAAAGUUUCCAGUCUUAAAAUGUAUAUUACAAAUCAUUGAAAAAGACAAGACGUUUGGCAUGCAUAUUCUAAAAAGAAAGAAAUAAAAAUAAAACCACAACAUUUUGAAAUGGUAAAGUCUAGAUCAUCAUGCGGUUUUCAUGAGCUCCAUGGAACACUUCCAUCCUUUUGUGUUUGUGUUCCAAUCUGUACACUUGCUCACAAUUCCUUCUUUUAAAUAAAAUGUGAGCCUUCUGAAAAUGGGUUGGCAGCAGCUGAGUGCAGGCAGUGACACUGCCCAGAGCUAACUACAAGGUGAUGCAAAACCAAAUCCACAAUUCAAUCACAUCACCACCAUCGUUACGAACAGAGCUGAACGGAGAAGUUACUGUUCUGCCCAAAUGUAAAGUGUUUUGGCUUGCCCUUGCUUAGAACAGCUUAUUGCUCAUGAUUUUAGUGUGAUGAACAUCUGGGCAGCUGAGAUACACAGCAGCAUUUACCUCACAAAGGAUCAUCACUUUGUUAACAGCCAACAGGAAAACGUGGGUCCAAUACGACACUUUCUUCCUGAACUCCGUGUCGAUUUGCUGCUCGUGCGGUUUUGAACGGAGUCUUUUGACAUGAAGAGUCCCAUUCACUCUCUAGACCUUAGCAUUUCAAGAAAGGCAUUAUGCUUACAAAUGAUAAUUGCAUGUAAAUAUGAUUUUGUAUAAAAAAAAACAAACACUUAAAUUAUUUUAAAGUGGUUUAAAGCUAAGCACAUUGAAGGGCAAUUAAAAAUUCUGUUUCCCAGGCCAUUUUAGACAUUGGACAAAUGACAACCUCUCAUUUGUCUUGCUGGUCAGCUAAAACAAUGAUUCAAAAAUGCAAUCACUAUCUCACCUUCCACUCACUGGUUUACAACAAAGCUUCGUCCCCUGCUUGCACAGGGCUCAGGGUUUGGACCCAACAGUGGCAAUGAAAUCCAGUAUGGAAUAUGGAUAUGCCUUUGUUUAGAGAGAAGAUUUUAAAAAGAAAAUAGAGAAUGAAUGGCUUAAGGAAGGGAGAGAAGUGGCUACAAGGCUUACAAACACAGAGCAUUGGCAUACAGCAUCACAAUCUUAAUACACACAAAAGAAAAAGAUUCUCAAAUGUUCUGGGGUGUAAAGAGGAUUUCUAGGAGGCUCUUCCAACCAUCCCCUGCUCAGGUUGCAGCUAAAAGGCCUUCGUGCAGGAUUACAAAGAAAAAGGGUGCAUAAAAAACACUACGAUCCCUAAACUCAACAUGAGGUGUCCUGUUGCUCGAGGAUAAAUGUGCACAUGAAGGGAAUCUCCUUUCACAGUAUGCUCUGCUUCGCACUGCAAUACGGUUUUGGUGACUAACAAGAGCUGCAGACCAGCUCAUCUGGCUUUUCCAUUACAGUCCAUGGGAAGCAGAUGUUUGUUUUCUUCCUGAGACUAUUGAUUCCUGCUACAAACACAAACAGUGCCAGCUAGCGGCUAUCUAACAGCAGAAGGGAUCAAUGUAUGAUCAAUGUAUCAGCUGCUGGUUCUGUCAGGGCCUGAAGCAGCCCAUGCACACAGACUACGAGCUAAGGUGUGCAGCAACAAAGGAAUCACAGCCACUCCAUUGCUUGGAACAAGUCACUGCAACACAACAGCUAAAGCAACAAAGACAGAAGUGGGUGCGAUGGGGCUUUCCCCACAUCUACACAGUUAAAAGAUCAGCUUAACUAUUUUUCUGUAGUUAUGCUGUUAUUCCUUCCCCGUCUCCCCCAGUGUAAGUUAUUCAGGGCUCAUUUGCACUGUUUCACCCAGAAUAAAGCUGUUAGCUUGUUCUUCUGUAUGGGGAGUUACUCUCAAACACUCUGACAUGAACUACACUGAUUAACUUCUCCCAUCAGAGAAGCCUUAAAAUCAUUUUUCCUGACAAGUCCACUGCACGUCCCCUUCAAGCUCCACUCCUGGUAUCAGACAGCAGAGCAGAAAUGCUGACUAUCCUCCAAAUCCCUGAGAGCUGGUUCACCUACAGGACUACACAGAAAAGGAGAGCAACGUGGCACUGGAUUUUAGGUGAAGAGAACAUUUCAAUUAUCGUGAAAAUGAAAAGAGAAAAUCCUUGAUGAAGAGAAAAAGCAGCAGCAAUGCUUUUUGGUUCAGUAAAGCAAAAGAAAACCUCCCAGUAUGGAGCACCAAUUUAAAGUUAUGCUGAAGCUCAGCAUCAAAAGCAAGAGGAAGGAACUUUGUCUGAAGAAGACAGACACAAAGAAAACAAGUGGAAUACAGUAGUUUGUCUGUGUCUUGUGGUUUACAGUGAGGAAUUAUUCUCAAACUGUAAGCAGCCUUUUAGAAAGCACUGUGAAUUACCAACACUUAGCCUGCUGAAUUAAGCUUCCCCCACAUCACUGCUUUCUGUGAGCACCUCUAUAUGUGAAAAAAGAAAAGAAAGUGUUUCCAAACUUAGAGGAAACAGCUCCAAAUCCAAGGAGAAAUUCUGCAUGCUGUCAUUGAGGGGUGUAAGAUAAAACACUGCCCUGUAAGGCUGAGGUGACACAUCUCCCAUACAGUAGCUAUUAAGAAAUCAGUGGCUCAGGUAGCAAGAGGUUCUCCCUCAUUCAAGCUGCCUUUCUGCCCAUUCUUUACAGAAAAAGAAAAAAAUAUAUAAAUCACAAGAAAAAAAAAGCACAUUCAUUUCUUUAGUAUUUAAGAUCACAGAGCAAUCAUAUUUACAGGAAAAUCCUCAAGAAAAAUAAGCAAUCUGAAAACUGGCCAAUGUGAAAAGAAAAUAAAUACAGGGAAAAACUGCAAAAAGCUCUCAAACAUUGUGUGAGUGUGGUACAGAAGCUGUGGGUCAGAAAGGGAAAUGCUGCCCAGUGGUUGGAAGGUGCACUGUGAAAAUACUUUUACACUGAUUGCAUCCAUUUGUAUAACAACAAAUUUAGAAAAGGCAAUUGGUUAACAGUAUGUCUGAGAAACAUAAUUUCAUUAGAUACACUUUACAGAGAGAGAGAGACAUGAUUUACUACAUAUUUCACCUUCUACUCAAGCAGAGUGGGAAAAUUACACUUGAAAAAUGGCCAACGAUACCCACGGAGUGACCCCUUCAGCCCAAACAGCCAAAUCUCCCCACUGCUUUUUGUAACGCACCGCCUGCUGAACUAACACAUAAUCAGAAUUAUGCUCAUUGACUUCAGUAAUUAAAUCAUCCCACCCGAACAGAGAAAAGUAGCGUCUUGAAUUUAUUUUUAGAUGGCAAAAAAUACACACCUAAGCUUAGAAAUCUCACUUCUGUUCCCACCCUGCUUGCACUGCAUAGCCAUCAGUCAAAGCCACUAAAAUGACCUCCUAGGUUACAUCUGUCAGUCAUAAUAUUGUUCAGAGAACACAAUGUCCAAAAGCCACCGAAAACAUCCAAACCUCGCUGCUUGUUUGAUGAGUCUCAACUACUCAAAUGACUGGGUCAGAGCUCAAGAGUGCAGGUAACAACAGCAUUCUGUGCUGUCAGCAAACAGCAUCCAAACUAAGAACUAGUGGAAAAACUAUUUGCUUGACAGUAGCCAAUGCAUUCUUUGGAGCAGUCAAAUAUUCUUCCUAGUGUUGAAGAUGCACUGCUAUCUGAAUGCUGACCUUAGGAGAGCCACAGCUAUCUCCACAGAAGUGCAGCAGAAGAAACCUUAAGCCAAAGGGACACUGUCAGAUACCAAAGUCAUCAUCCUGAAAUAAAAACCAUCUGCUACUGAUACAAAGCAUUCUUUAUAAAAAAAAGACUGUUCACGUUACUCACUGUUACUCUGAGAAUCUGAAUACUGCAAAGUAAUGCUUCUGUCCACAUCAACAGCAGUUCCUUGUAACUCUCAAAAAUGUCACUCAGCUAUUUCUGAACUACUCUGCAGAUGCUGCUUAAUGUGUCUGACAAUGACCCUCUGAAUAUAAGACAAGUAUGGACAAGCUGCAUCUAGGUCUGAUUAAACAAAACAAAACAAAAAUCAACAUUUACACAGGAUAACCUUUAAAACCCCAAAUAUUUAUCAAUGCCAGAAGUAAAAAUAUUUUCAACAUUAAAAUCUUAGUCAUUCUGUUCAAUGCUGAAUAUGUCAAAAUCAUUAAAUCAUGAUGCUUAACAUCAUAAAUACUAUACAUCACAACUUGCAUUCACAAUUUAACGAGAUCUCAUUUGUUACAAUGUCAAAAUCCUUUGAGAACACAAUGAUUAGAAGUCUGUUUUUGACACUCCCAUACAUCUUCAGACAGCAGAAGCCAUCACUCUCCGUCUUGUGAAAUAACGACACGGAGCCACAGCACUGACAGGAUUCAGAUGAUGAUCAUCAGGCUGUCAAAUCCUAGAGUAGGACAGAAAUCCACAGUCCUGAGCCAAGACCUGGCUAAAAGGCAGCUACCCUUAUUACUUACAUUGGUGGAGAAGCACUUCUAAUGAAUUUGGGGCAUAAUUUUUCCAAGCUGGGCACCCACAAGAUCCUAUCAUUUCUUAAAGGAUAGAGAAAUGUUAUCACCAAUCUCUCCCAAGGCCCUGCAGGUAAACAUCCCUUCUUAAACUUUGUUGUGUUUUUUAAGUUAUCCUGCUUAUACAUGCACAAAGCACAGGUUUACCAUACACUCAAGGAGUCUCGUCCCAUUUUUAGCUAAUAAUUUCUUUUCUGCUGCAGGUUUGUGCAUAAGACUUUAAACUCUGUAUAGGGAAAAAAAUUAUUCCAAUACAGUGUUUCAACAAAGAGAGAGAAAUUAAGAAAUCUAUUAAAAAUUCUGGCAGUUUUGUUCAGUAAAGGUUUUUUUUUUUUUAGAUUUUUUUUUAUAUAAAAAUGUACCAAGGAGUAACCAUCAAAGAAAUCAGAUGAUACGUAUAAAAAUAGUUUUCAGUGGCUCUGGAGGAAAAAAAAAAUAGCAAAAAUAAAAGGAAAUAAAUGGAAAAAAUAGCAAGUAAUAGUUUCUUUCUUUUUCUUUCUUCACAUCACUAAGCAUCCUCGAGAAGUUGUUCUGGGAUCCCCCUGUUGGUUGAAAAGGUCCUCCUCUCCAAAGUCUGCUUCAUCCUCUUCCUCUUCGUUCUCUCGCACGACAACUGACUUAGUAACAGUUCUCACUGCAACCUCCUCUCCAUCAGAGUUCACGAGGUAUGUGCGGAUAUUUCCUCCGGUGCCCCAGCUGCCUUGAUUCUUCCACACAAGAACAGAAGGGGGGCUGUGAGACACACCUGCAUCUGCACCCCAGAUUGUUACAGUCUGCCCAGCCCUGAGGACAUACUUCGGAGUAAAUUUGUAAGCAAUUUCUUCUCCAUCUCCAAUUUGUCUUUUCAGUCUCCAGUUACCCAAAGAUUGAUCCUUCUCCGAGUUGUUCUUCAGUUGAACGUAUUUUCCCUCCAGGUCUAUCUCUUCAAUGCUGAUACUUCCUGUAGCUGAAGCUUGCUGGGACAUUUGGAAGCUACUGCUGCUACUGCUGCCACUGAUACUCCCAGUGCCAAUUCCACUUGUUCCACUGCCUGAGAGCUCCUCUGCCUCAAUCCGUCGUCUCUUGCCUCGGGAAGAGCGGACAAGUGAAGUACUGCUACUGCUGCUGCUGGAGGUAGCCCGAGAGACGGUAACACGGGAUGAGGGGCUCGGAGAGAGCUUCAACCUUUCCUCCUCUCCUUCCAGGAGUUUUCGGUAAGCGCUGAUUUCCAUGUCUAGUGCUAAUUUCACAUCAAGCAGUUCCUGGUAUUCAGUAAGCUGCAGCUGCAUCUGGUCCCUCAUUUCUGUCAUCUCCCUCUCCUUGGCAUCAAGCAUCUUCCUAAAUUUAUCCCGUUCACCAGCCAUCGUUUCCUCCAACUCACGAAUGCGAUCUUCAGCUGCACUAGCCUGUUUCUGAAGGCCAGAAAGUUGGUAGCUGAGAGAUUCUAUUCUCAUGCGAGCCUCCUUCAACUCUUCCCGAGCUGCACCAGCAGCUUUGUCAUUCUGGUCAGAGGCCAGGAUGGCAUUCUCCAACUUAGCCUGAUAGGUCUGCUCUAGCUCCAUUUUGUACAGCUUGACUUGCUCAUCAUGCUGAUUUCGCAGGUCCUCCAGGGCCUGAGCCAUUUUGUUUUCAUACUCCUGCUGCCGACUGGUGUCCACUUCAACCAAACGAUGCUCAUGUCGUUUUCUUGUCUCUCUUAUCUCCUCCUCAAACACAUUCUUCCUGAAAUCCAGAUCCUCCUGCAAACUCUGGCACCGAUUCUCCAGGUCCACACGCAUAAGUGUCUCCUUCUCCAACUGCUUCUUAGCCACAGCAUGACCAUCUUCAGCCUUAGCAAGUUGGGCACGCAGAUCAGCCACCUCUGCCUCCAGGCUGCGUUUCUCAUUCAGGACAGUAUUGAGUUCUGCUUCGCUUCUAUGGAAGAGUACUUCAAGAUCCUUAAUGCGACCUUGAGCAACAGACAAAUCUGCAUCUUUCUUUUUGUAGCUUUUAUUGAACUCCUCAAGUUCAGCCCUCAGUUUUCCUAUUUCGAUCUGUAACCUCGCUCUCUCUUUGGCUGUUUCAUCCAGAACUCUUCGAGCAUCAGCCAGUUCGGACUCAUAGAGGUUCUUGAUGCCACUGACCUCACGGGUGGUGACCUCCUCUUUCUCGGAGAUCUUCACCAGCAGCCGGUCGUUCUCCAGCUCCAGCGCCCGCACGCGGUCGAUAUAGACGGCCAGACGGUCAUUGAGCUGCCGCAGCUCCUCCUUCUCCUGCAGGCGGGUGAUGCGGGUCGGCGACAGCGGGGUCCCGCCGGGGGUGCCGCGGAUCGGGGUGCCUGACAUGGCGCUCAGCUCGCGGGCAGCAGGCUCAUUCAAUCCGGCCGCACCGGGGGAGGAGGGAGCGGUAAGAUGGCGGACAUCGCCUGCCCUAGCCGCCGUGCCGCAUGGGAAAUGAAGUCUGGGCGCCAAGAUGGCCGCGCGGGGCGCGCCGGGAGGAGGAGUGCGCGGCGCCGCCAUUUUGUGGGCUGCCCGCGGGCGUCCGCCGCGGCUCUGCGCUCCAUUGUAACGCGCUUUAAAUACAGUUAAGCCAUCGAGACUGUGAAUAAAGCGUGGGAAGAAAGGUUAUUUAAUAACGUUGUACAUAAUAACCUUGUCUGUGAAUAAAGUCGGUUCUGAAAGCAGAGGCCGCUCGUUGGGUUCUGUUUGUUUUUUUCCUCCAAGUGUGAGGGAGCGGAGCUGUGGGAUCCGGGCCCCUCGUCAGCCCGUGUCACGGCAGGUGCAGCCCCCCGCGCUCCUCAGAAACAGCAUCCUACAAACAAACGGCCUUCCACGCCCCGGGAGGGGGCAUGGGAUAGCAGCGAGGCCUGCUGAGGAAUUUGCUGUGCUUCCCCAUAAGCAUCUGUAGGCUGAGGACUGCGGUUCGCUUUUUGGAGUUUCAAUCAAUGCUUCUUAGCGGGGAUUUUAGGAGGACUGCUUUGCAGGCAUUAAAAAUGUCCAUGGAGAUGCUGAGAAGGUGUGAUGCUCCCAGGUCAGGCUGCCCAGGAAUAAAGUGCCUGAAGUGCUUUUGCUAUCCCAGGGAUGCAGCCAGUUCACAAUGAAACCAUUGGGAAUUGUUCAUUUCCUAUAUAUUUUGAGUAUUACCUUCCCCAAAGCAUGUUUUUAGUGAUUAUACUCCGACUUCUUUAAGUUCUUACACAUUUAACCGGUAUAGAAUGUGUUACCAGGGAAUUCUGUAUGUCCCCAGGCUUGGGUCUGAAAAGCACUCAGUGCGGUUGUUUUGCAUUGUGACUAACAGGGAAGGCUGGGAAAAGGAAAAUUUUCUGGGAAAAAUGAAUUUGAAGUUGGUGGCACAACAGCAAAGGAGAAAGAAGUGCAAGUGUAGUGCAAACCAGUGAUAGAAGACAUCCAGAUAGAAAAACAAGCAUAAAAUACUGCACACAAUAGAUGGAAAGAAACUCAGAGAGGCAGGGCGAACAAAUGGGUGUUUACGAUCAAAACAGAAGCAAUCUGAUUCUCAUGUUAGAGGAUCUGGGAGCCUCAGAUCGAGUACUUGUCAAACUGGGAAACUCAGUGCAUCACUGCCCUGCUGUGGGGGAGCAGCUCUGAGUCCCUCUUGCAAUUGCUGCACAUCUUUAGCAGAUGGCCUGUGUAAGCAGUAGGUUUUCAGGAGGAAGAGGGAAGGACAGACUACAAAUCCCAGAGCGCUGCGCCUCGUUUCUCAGCAGGCAGGUCUGACCCCGCGCUCGGGGCUGGGAGCCGCACCAAGGACGGCCCAGGAGCCCGCAGGGCCGCCUCCUGCCUCAUUGUUUCCACCCGCCGCUCUGCAUUUGAAGCACGGGGCGUCUUUUGAAUUUCGGCGCCAGUUGCAAACUGGAAACCAACUGCUGCUGGAUCGGCUCCAGAGCCGCCGGCUGGAGCUGCUGUGAGCCUGCGGCGUGUCAGACAUCGCCGCCUUCCCCCGGGCAAAGCAAAACGGAACGGUAAUUAAAGAAUAACGCUUCGGAGUGGGGAGCGUCCAACCGUGCGCUUGGAUUGAAUUUGUUCUCACCCAACGUGCAGUUCCCAGCACUAAGAAAUCUGUGGAAGAGCAGUAGUUCAAUUUGGUUGUAUAAAGCUGAAAAAAGAAGUAUUUUAGGAAUGCUAAAAUUCCUCUGCCUCUGCCUAAACGUCUUUUGGGUUGGCUCAUUUGUUCUCAUGUGAUUUGACACGAUGCUGUGCACAUCCAUCACAGUUUGGAAAUUCUUUUACAGCUUUUACCUCUUUUUGAUGGAGAAUAUAACCCAGAUGCAAGCCUGCCUUGGUCAUGAAGUUUAGUUCAAGCUCUUCCAUUAUUCUGUCAGAUCUUUUUUAUCCUAUAAAAACUUUGUACGUUUCAAGAUUUUUUUUUUUUUUGCCUUUUAAUAUCACUUUUUUUUUUCACAGUGAUGAUACCACAUCGCAGUAAAAUCUUCCUUUUAUAUUUUACUUCCUCACACUUGAGAUCUCUUAUUUUCCACAAUACUUAGAAUGUGCCUUUCUUAAGCAGUCACCAGAACACUUGAAGACUUUCAUCCUUGUUUUCAGUCUCGCCUCCUUGUUUGCUGAACGUGUUUGCUCACUUUUCCUCCCUGAGAACAGGACAGUUUGGGGAGUGGGAUAGGAAGAUGCCAAGGCUGCUGCCUCACCCGCUCCCCCACACUGACUUUUGUGGGCAGCGUAGCACAGGUGAAAGCUGUGCAUGUACAUCUUUCACUCUGAUAACAAGUCAGGAGCUUGGCAGUGCUCUGGGCUCUCAUGUGGAUCCAUCUCGGAGGUACUUGCAACACAUCUGGCUGUCUGUGUAGGUUAAGCAUAAAUUCUUGAGACAUCAGAUAACGCAGACAGCAGUGGCAGGUUCUGCCUUGCACCGGAGUGCUUCUUCCCACCAAAGAAGUGAAGAGAUUGCUUACAGCAGGGAAUCAAGACAGAGGAAAACCUCACACGGCCUUUGAUGCCAAGCAUCUUUUCAGUUGUUGGCCACUUCACAGUUCGGUGUGACAAGUUUUCUGAUGCUAUCUUGGAUUUCAUAAUGAUGCUGAUAUUGUCAGAAACCUGGGAACACAGCGUCUCCCUUGCUGAUUUUUACCUCAUCUGCCUUCCUUUCUCAGCAGCUGCUGCCACAUCCUCCAUUUUCUCAUUCUGCCCUGUAUUACUUGUACAUCUCUAAUACUGAGAUUAUUUCUGUCUUUCCUGUAGUCAUCAAACUUCCCCUCUGCCUCGUGUUCCUUAUCUCACUCUGAGCCGCCUGUCUGCUUAGUUAAUUGUCUCAGCUAUUUUCAUUAAUUUCAGGAUUAGACAUGAGUGGAACACGCAGCCCGGAACAUUUUCCCAGGUGUCCAAAUUGAGCCCAGCUCAACAGCAAUUUAAGAAUGGUUAGCAAUGACCUCAAGCCUGGAAGAAGUGCUCAUACCUUACUAUAGAUUAUCAUCUUUCACUGAAUGAAAUUACUUCUGGCAGUGUCAGGACAGAAAGCACCAAAGCAAGGAGAGAAAAUUAGUAGUAUGCCAUGGAUGAGACCUUCCUCAGCUGCUAAUGAGAAAGAGGUGUGUAAAAAGGGAGCAAAGAGGAACAGAGUGCACCACUGUGGGAUUAAAGCAAACAGACAGCAAACUCCAUAUAGAAGAAGGAUUUUUUCAAGGCAGUAAGACACCUCCUAAUGAACAGAGGACAUAUUUACGUCUAAUUCCAGGCAAAUCAUGUUUGGCAGGACCUUAGACAAUAAUAUUCUGCUACAGCAUCUGCCUCCUUGUUGAGGCAGAAUUCAGCCUGGAUUGCAGCGGAGGAAGUGUUAACCAAACCUGGGGGAGAGGACUCAGCUCUGUACUGCUCACUGUUCACUCCUCCAUGGCAGAAAGGGAGUGGCUGUCGGUAAGUGAAUCUGGGCGGCCCUUUAUACUCUUGUGCUGCAGCUGGACUCCUGUGACCAGAAAUAAGAAUUUUUUACAAAAAAAAAAAGAUAACUCAUUUUUUCCCCAUCUCAACAAAAAAGAAACAGAGGAAUAAGGCUCGGGGUUCUGCACCUUGAAACAAUCCCACUCUGUCACUUCUCCCAGUGGUGGUUUAUCUUAGCAGUGCCAAAAGGAGCCACUUCUGUCACAUGAGAGUGGUAGUGGAGCGUUCCCCCGGCAAACUCAAUCAGAGCCUUCAUCAGGGAAAGGAGCAUUAGGUACGGAGCUUUCCCUUCACUGGCUCCCCACAGCUCAGGGGUUCUUCCAAAGUAGUAAGAAGACAGAUUUCUUGUUGGGAGAAUAGUGUGAAAAUACAGCUGAAAUGAAAUGAGGUGGCCAGGUGGGAACAAAAUGAUGGUUUCUGUCUAGUCUGGCUGCAGGCAGUCCUGGAGCCCAUGUAGUCAGAGCCCUCGUGGGUUUACCUCUUGGUGCAGGUGAAUAACAAUGUCAAUCUAAUGUCAACAUUAUCCUUAUAACCUUUACUGAAAUAUCAGGCCAAUAAUCAGACGUGGUGAGUACGGACUUUCACACACACAGCCGGGUUUCAUUCCAGCCGAUCAAUACUCGCCAGCAGGCUGUGAGAAUGGCAUCAUGCUCCUGGUGCUCCACGCAGCUCGGAUUUCCCCGGGACACGAGCAGGACACGGCCUGCUGCCAGCUGGGAAGAGCAGUGC